CCUACGGGAGGCAGCAGUGGGGAAUAUUGCACAAUUGGCGGAAGCCUGAUGCAGCGACGCCGCGUGCGGGAUGAAGGCCUUCGGGUUGUAAACCGCUUUCACCAGGGACGCGGUACCUGGGGAAGAAGCGCCGGCUAACUACGUGCCAGCAGCCGCGGUAAUACGUAGGGCGCGAGCGUUGUCCGGAAUUAUUGGGCGUAAAGAGCUCGUAGGCGGCUUGUCGCGUCUGCUGUGAAAUCCCGGGGCUCAACCCCGGGCGUGCAGUGGAUACGGGCUGGCUAGAGGCAGGCAGGGGAGAACGGAAUUCCCGGUGUAGCGGUGAAAUGCGCAGAUAUCGGGAGGAACACCGGUGGCGAAGGCGGUUCUCUGGGCCUGUCUGACGCUGAGGAGCGAAAGCGUGGGGAGCGAACAGGAUUAGAUACCCUGGUAGUC
rnacentral:rRNA from 1 species